rnacentral:lncRNA from 1 species
CUUCCCUUAAAGAUAGAUGAGUCUCAAGUCUAUAGUAUAGGAAUACUGAAGUGAGAGUGCAAGUAGUUGUUAGAAAACCAAGAUACCAAGGAUGACCGACAUGAGUAAUCACUUGCAUAUCUAACUUUUUAUCAGUGACGUACUCAAUGCUGUAGUAGUGUGAAUAAUUCUCCAACCUACGGUGCUUCGACUAUUCACAAUGAUGUUGCUGUAGUUUGAUUACAACAUAACUUGAUCUUUUAAUCAUAUGAAG